GCAGCCCCGGGGCUCCUUGCGGCCCCCUCCGCGCCUCGUUCCGGUACCGCCAGGCUCACCCUUGUCCCGCAGGAGCCUUCCAUCUUUUGGGAUCUCCCGAUCAUCUCAACUGCAGCUUGGCAUUUUUUCACAAGUGUUAUCUGGUCCUGAGGUGAAGCUACUCUGUGUUGAAGAUGGCUACAGACACCCAGAUGCAGAGCCCUGGUCCCAGGAGGCUCUAGGCACCGGAGGGGAGGUGAUUCGGGUGAGUACUGGUGAGCAAGGGGUUCUGCCACCUUCUAACAGACAGUCCAAUGCUUCAGGGACCCUGUCGGUAAGAGGUCCAGGAGAGAGAAUGUGUGCAGCCUCAGAGGGCUGGAGCCACCUGCCAAUUAGGUGUGAUGGUCUUCAGCUGUCCUGGUGAGUAAUCCC